UACGUAGGUGGCAAGCGUUAUCCGGAUUUACUGGGUGUAAAGGGCGCGCAGCCGGGGCUGCAAGUCAGAUGUGAAAACUAUAGGCUUAACCUGUAGCCUGCAUUUGAAACUGUAGUUCUUGAGUACUGGAGAGGUUGACGGAAUUCCAUGUGUAGCGGUGAAAUGCGUAGAUAUAUGGAAGAACACCAGUGGCGAAGGCGGUCAACUGGACAGCAACUGACGGUGAGGCGCGAAAGCGUGGGGAG
rnacentral:rRNA from 1 species